GUCUGCCUGGGCGAGCGGAGCACGCGCUCGUGGUAGCGGUCCGCGAACACCUGCCCUCGGCGCUCGAGGGCGGCGUUCAACGCGCGGGCGAUCC
rnacentral:tRNA from 14 species